AAGCGACAUGUGGAUACAAAUUUAUGCCAUCGGCAGGAAAUGAUGUGAAAGCCAAAAGAGGAUCCGCAUCAGCAAAGUGAUAGUGCGCAGGCGCGUUGAGGAGACGCGACGCUUGUGUUUGCUGUGUGAAAAUGGCCGACGUGGAGAUGGAGGUAGACGGAAAAGGCGUGGACAUCGGCAAAGACAUGACACCAACAAAACUGGGCAAGUCAGUCAUGAUGAAACCAUCGAAGAUGCAAAGUUUGCUCUACAGUCAGUAGCAACAGAAACUAAUCUUGUGGAUACUUUCUGUGAAAUUGAAGAGGAUUCUAGUGAGGUUGAAAGUGAUUCUGAUUAUGAACCAACAGAGGGCUCACUGGCUUCAGAUGAUGAAAUGUUCACAGAGUCUGAUGAGGAAGACAAAUUUCUCAGACAGCUUGAAGUCAAAGGCUGGAGAUACAGAUAGAUCUGCUGAACUUUCAGAACAUGAGUAAAAAUGUCUGCAAACAUGGAGAAUCAACGUGCAUGUCAAACAUUGUCUGUACUGCGAAAAAGCAUACUCUAAAAUUACCAGGCAUCUGACACAAAAGCAUCAAAAUGAAGUUGAUGUGGCUAAAGCAUUUGCAUACAAGCAAGGAUCCAAACAACACAAUCUGCAGCUGUUGAAAUUAAGAAACAAGGGCAACUACCACCACAACUGCAGUGUCAUAGCUUCAGGACAAGGAGAAAUUGUACCCAAGAGACAGGCAAUACGUCAAUCAGCUGCAUCAGAAUAUCUGCCAUGCAAAUAUUGUUUGGCACUUUAUGUCAAAACGGACCUGUGGAGACACCACAAACAUUGUAGCUUAAGACUGGGUGAUGACAGAACGUGCAAAAGAAAAAUUCAGUCAAGUGCAUCCUUUCUGCUGCCUCAGAAUACGACUAUUUCUAAUGGAAUGAAGAUUGGGUUAAGUAGAAUGGUCUAUGAACGCUUUACUCAGAUUGCUUCAAAUGAUCCCUUGAUCAUUAAA